AUUGAACGCUGGCGGCAGGCCUAACACAUGCAAGUCGAGCGGUAGCACAGAGAGCUUGCUCUCGGGUGACGAGCGGCGGACGGGUGAGUAAUGUCUGGGAAACUGCCUGAUGGAGGGGGAUAACUACUGGAAACGGUAGCUAAUACCGCAUAACGUCGCAAGAUCAAAGUGGGGGACCUUCGGGCCUCAUGCCAUCAGAUGUGCCCAGAUGGGAUUAGCUAGUAGGUGGGGUAACGGCUCACCUAGGCGACGAUCCCUAGCUGGUCUGAGAGGAUGACCAGCCACACUGGAACUGAGACACGGUCCAGACUCCUACGGGAGGCAGCAGUGGGGAAUAUUGCACAAUGGGCGCAAGCCUGAUGCAGCCAUGCCGCGUGUGUGAAGAAGGCCUUCGGGUUGUAAAGCACUUUCAGCGGGGAGGAAGGCGGUGAGGUUAAUAACCUCAUCGAUUGACGUUACCCGCAGAAGAAGCACCGGCUAACUCCGUGCCAGCAGCCGCGGUAAUACGGAGGGUGCAAGCGUUAAUCGGAAUUACUGGGCGUAAAGCGCACGCAGGCGGUCUGUCAAGUCGGAUGUGAAAUCCCCGGGCUCAACCUGGGAACUGCAUUCGAAACUGGCAGGCUAGAGUCUUGUAGAGGGGGGUAGAAUUCCAGGUGUAGCGGUGAAAUGCGUAGAGAUCUGGAGGAAUACCGGUGGCGAAGGCGGCCCCCUGGACAAAGACUGACGCUCAGGUGCGAAAGCGUGGGGAGCAAACAGGAUUAGAUACCCUGGUAGUCCACGCCGUAAACGAUGUCGAUUUGGAGGUUGUGCCCUUGAGGCGUGGCUUCCGGAGCUAACGCGUUAAAUCGACCGCCUGGGGAGUACGGCCGCAAGGUUAAAACUCAAAUGAAUUGACGGGGGCCCGCACAAGCGGUGGAGCAUGUGGUUUAAUUCGAUGCAACGCGAAGAACCUUACCUGGUCUUGACAUCCACAGAACUUUCCAGAGAUGGAUUGGUGCCUUCGGGAACUGUGAGACAGGUGCUGCAUGGCUGUCGUCAGCUCGUGUUGUGAAAUGUUGGGUUAAGUCCCGCAACGAGCGCAACCCUUAUCCUUUGUUGCCAGCGGUUAGGCCGGGAACUCAAAGGAGACUGCCAGUGAUAAACUGGAGGAAGGUGGGGAUGACGUCAAGUCAUCAUGGCCCUUACGACCAGGGCUGCACACGUGCUACAAUGGCAUAUACAAAGAGAAGCGACCUCGCGAGAGCAAGCGGACCUCAUAAAGUAUGUCGUAGUCCGGAUUGGAGUCUGCAACUCGACUCCAUGAAGUCGGAAUCGCUAGUAAUCGUAGAUCAGAAUGCUACGGUGAAUACGUUCCCGGGCCU
rnacentral:rRNA from 1 species